rnacentral:rRNA from 1 species
UACGUAGGGUGCAAGCGUUGUCCGGAAUUAUUGGGCGUAAAGAGCUUGUAGGCGGUUUGUCGCGUCUGCUGUGAAAUUUCGGGGCUCAACCCCGAACUUGCAGUGGGUACGGGCAGACUAGAGUGUGGUAGGGGAAACUGGAAUUCCUGGUGUAGCGGUGAAAUGCGCAGAUAUCAGGAGGAACACCGAUGGCGAAGGCAGGUCUCUGGGCCACUACUGACGCUGAGAAGCGAAAGCAUGGGGAGCGAACAGG